GUAGUAAAUUAAAUAUGUCGUCGUAUAAAGUCAGGGAUAUGGCCUGAAAGUUUCUACCGAGCUACCGUAAAAAGCUCGACUACGAUUUGAAAUAGCAUGAUC
rnacentral:ncRNA from 1 species